rnacentral:rRNA from 1 species
UACGGGGGGGGCAAGCGUUGUUCGGAAUUACUGGGCGUAAAGGGCGCGUAGGCGGCCUUCUAAGUCAGACGUGAAAUCCCUCGGCUCAACCGAGGAACUGCGUCUGAUACUGGAAGGCUUGAAUCCGGGAGAGGGAUGUGGAAUUCCAGGUGUAGCGGUGAAAUGCGUAGAUAUCUGGAGGAACACCGGUGGCGAAGGCGGCAUCCUGGACCGGUAUUGACGCUGAGGCGCGAAAGCCAGGGGAGCAAACGGG